UUUACAAUUUAACGGCCGCGGUAUUAUAACCGUGCAAAGGUAGCGCAAUCACUUGCCCCCUAAUUAGGGGCCCGUAUGAACGGCUAAAUGAGGGCCAAACUGUCUCCUGUAUAGACCAAUGAAACUGAUCUCUCAGUACAAAAGCUGAGAUUCACCCACAAGACGAAAAGACCCUGUGGAGCUUCCAAGCCCACCACUAAAUAAACCAAUGAAGACCCCAUUACACGGGUCCAAAAAAACAUCAUAGCUAAAGGCUUUAAGUUGGGGCGACUGCGGAAAACAACAGACCUUCCGCGAAUACGGACUUUAACUCCGACUCAAGGCCUACAAGCCAAGAGUACAAAAUAGUAUGACCCAGUAAAACUGACUAUCGAACCAAGUUACCCCAGGGAUAACAGCGCCAUCCCUCUAAAGAGCCCAUAUCGCCAGAGGGGUUUACGACCUCGAUGUUGGAUCAGGACCCCCUGGUGGUGAAGCCGCUACCAAGGGUUCGUUUGUUCAACGACUAACGUCCUACGUGAUCUGAGGGUUCGUUUGUUCAACGACUAACGUCCUACGUGAUCUGA
rnacentral:rRNA from 1 species